rnacentral:lncRNA from 1 species
CAAGACCGAGGUCUCCUCCCGCGAGAAGGUCCACUUCUCCCUCUCCAAGUGGACCGACGAGAAGCAGCAGAAGCCCAGUAAGUUCCUCGAUUCGAUCAAGUCCCUGUCUCGCGUCCUCGAUCCGGUUUGAUUUGCCUGGUCACGGAAUGAAUCCUAGGGUUCGUGGAUCUGGCUUAGUACUGUUGGAUGUGGAUCUUGGUCUAGGUCCAGCGGUUUACUUGUCUAGGUUGAUCUGCUGGAUUGAAUACGAUCUGAUCAGUGAUGAUUUUUGGUUGGGCUGCGCGCCGUCGCGUGAAUCUGUUCCACACCUGCGUAGAAAUGUGUGCGUCGUUGACGAUGGCACAGAUCUAGUGUGCGUCGUUUUUUCUUUUCCUGUUGGUAGAAAUGUGCUGUGAAGAGGGGGGGAAAACUGACAUACGCAAAAGGAUGAUCUUAAAGUAAGCUGUCAGUGUAAUAUACAAGAUUUUUGUGUCAUCUGCGGCGGCGGCUGGUAUCAGCUCACUUGAGAUGUAUUGGGAAUUUUAAUUCGCCCUAUAGCCUGGAGCUGCUAGAAUCGUAAGAUUAUGUUUUACAGUUUAGUACUAACUUAGUAUUACUUAUUUGCUGGAAAAUAGAGAUGAGUAACCAUGAAUGCAUGAAGUAAUACAUAACGAGGAUCCUACCCUGAGUGUGACCUUCCAUAGGCUGGAUUGGGUGGACAUGAUGGUGCUUAUCGUCUCUGUUUUAUGCAUAAUUUUACCAGAUAAAAAAUAUGCCUGUGUUCCUUUAAAACCAGGAGAAACUUGGUAUUGGUGGCUCUGUUUGAAGAUUAACUGUAGGAACCCCACCUGAACUUCUAUGCAGUCAUAGUUAUUGAUUAAUCUCUGCAAGCUUUUUGCAAUAUACUUCUUUCCCCUGAUGCAAGGAAAAUAUCAUGAGCUUAAUCUGUGGCACCACGUCUGCUGCGUGCACAAGAGCAUUCACGAACUCAUGCUAACGAUAAAGAAACCUCAUGAAUCAAAGGCAUGUGCAAGUCUACUAAUAGAGGGAAUGGUGUGGUAAUAAUUAGCACCUGUAGUUUUCACUUUUCAGCGCCAAUGCAUCAGUACCUCAUAGUUCUGCAAAUGCCUCAAGAUUUGUCAUACCCUAUUUAUAUGAUACAGAGCUGGUAGCAAAAGCAGAGGGAGUUUAUUCAGCCGCAUGCAUGAUUGCAUGUGAACACUGAGUAGUGAUCUAUAGCAAUACUGAUUUUGUGUUUCACAUAACUAUCUAUAUUGUAAUUGCAACUCGUGGAUAUUCUUUCAGGAACUGCAAAAGUAGAUGUAGUUUUGUUUUGGAAUGCUUAAGUGGCUGUUAUGUUUGCUCUUUGAGUGAUUUGCAUGAAGUGUCGCAUCCAACAUCUAUGCCAUUCUGAAUAAUUUGCUUAUCCAGCUUCUGUGAUGAUUUUGUAGUUGCAUAUUUAACAUCUUGCUUUCUCAUUGUGGUUGGUGGGUAUUGAACCAAGUAGAACCAAAUGAGGCUCUUUCUUGCUUUGGUUGUACUUCAUGAUGUAUUGUUCUCUUGAUCACUAACUUGGUUGUUCAUGUUGCAGCUGUGCGCACAGAUGAUGAAUGAAGAUCAGGUGCCAUGGUGAUGUUUUGAGAAGUUGUUGGUUUAUGGUCAGGGGCUCAGGGCUUAAGAACUUGAAAAUAAAUUCUUGUGGUGACAAUGGAUCUAUUCCGAUACUAUGUUGUUAUAUUUACUAAUUGCUCCUUUUCUACUUGAUGAACCAUGUGAAACUCUUGUCUUGCGGUGGUGCUUGAGUGAGCGUGUUUUUAUGCAUUAUAUCUUCUGAUGCUUUAAUUUGGUAUAUAUUCCAAA